rnacentral:rRNA from 1 species
UGGGGAAUUUGGACAAUGGGCGAAAGCCUGAUCCAGCAAUGCCGCGUGAGGGAUGACGGCCUUCGGGUUGUAAACCUCUUUCAGCAGGGAAGAAGCGAAAGUGACGGUACCUGCAGAAGAAGCGCCGGCUAACUACGUGCCAGCAGCCGCGGUAAUACGUAGGGCGCAAGCGUUGUCCGGAAUUAUUGGGCGUAAAGAGCUCGUAGGCGGUUAGUCGCGUCUGCUGUGAAAACUCGAGGCUCAACCUCGGGCUUGCAGUGGGUACGGGCUGACUAGAGUGCGGUAGGGGUGACUGGAAUUCCUGGUGUAGCGGUGGAAUGCGCAGAUAUCAGGAGGAACACCGAUGGCGAAGGCAGGUCACUGGGCCGCAACUGACGCUGAGGAGCGAAAGCAUGGGGAGCGAAACAGGAUUAGAUACCCUGGUAGUCCAUGCCGUAAAACGUUGGGCACUAGGUGUGGGGUCCAUUUCCACGGAUUCCGUGCCGCAGCAAACGCAUUAAGUGCCCCGCCUGGGGAGUACGGCCGCAAGGCUAAAACUCAAAUGAAUUGACGGGGUCAUAGCUGUUUCCU